rnacentral:piRNA from 1 species
UGGGAUUAAAGGUGUGCGCCUGCAUGCCCGU